rnacentral:rRNA from 1 species
UACGGAGGAUCCAAGCGUUAUCCGGAAUCAUUGGGUUUAAAGGGUCCGUAGGCGGUUUAAUAAGUCAGUGGUGAAAGCCCAUCGCUCAACGGUGGAACGGCCAUUGAUACUGUUAAACUUGAAUUAUUAGGAAGUAACUAGAAUAUGUGAGUGUAGCGGUGAAAUGCUUAGAGAUUACAUGGAAUACCAAUUGCGAAGGCAGGUUACUACUAAUGGAUUGACGCUGAUGGACGAAAGCGUGGGUAGCGAACAGGA